rnacentral:rRNA from 1 species
CCUACGGGUGGCAGCAGUGGGGGAUAUUGCACAAUGGGGGGAACCCUGAUGCAGCGACGCCGCGUGGGUGAAGGAGUGCUUCGGCAUGUAAAGCUCUAUCGGCAGGGAAGAAGCAAGAGGGUACCUGACUAAGAAGCCCCGGCUAACUACGUGCCAGCAGCCGCGGUAAUACGGAGGGGGCGAGCGUUAUCCGGAUUCACUGGGGGUAAAGGGAGCGGAGGCGGGCCAGCAAGUCUGAUGUGAAAACCCGUGGCCCAACCCCGGGAGUGCAUUGGAAACCGCGGGCCUAGAGUGCAGGAGAGGUAAGCGGAAUUCCUGGUGUAGCGGUGAAAUGCGUAGAUAUUAGGAGGAACACCAGUGGCGAAGGCGGCUUACUGGACUGUAACUGACGCUGAGGCUCGAAAGCGUGGGGAGCAAACAGGAUUAGAUACCCGAGUAGUC